GCUGGAGCUGUCACUGGGGAAGGAUAAUGAAAGAGAGAGGAAACCUUGCCCAAGCACAGCUCUCAGACAUACAUUUCCAGGAAUACCGCGGAAUUAGGUUAAUUUCCAAGGCACUCUUCACGAGUUUUCCUUCCGAUCGAGUCCCGGUUUAGCGACAUGUUGCUGACGGCAGCAUUUCUGGGUGUUAAGAAGUGUCAGAAAGAAUCCUACAGUCGCCUAACACCCGCCUCGGGCCAGGUUGAAGAUUUUCACUCUCCUGAGCCGAGUCUUUCACCGUUGCUAGUCGUUACCCCAAUUGCUUUGGAACCCGCUUCACACCUUCUUCACCUGCGCCCGAGCCGCAUUUAGGUAGUUGGAACAGGGGACAAAGAAGAGACUCACCCGGGUUCCCCUCCCUUCCCCUCCCCUCCCACUUCCCUGGUUUCCGAAAGGAGCUCUUGGAAGACCCCGGGUUUGGGGAACAGAGCAUGUGUUUCAUGUGGGUUUAAGGAGACUAGAAGGACGGCAGAGCGGGACAUGAUUGGACUCAGAGCUGGGAGCUCUAGCGACAGGGAGAUCGUCCCGGGAAACCGGCAAGAAGGAAAGUAAUCCGUUUGAACAAUUCCUGAGUAUACGUGUAUAUAGGAAUCCAGCCGCAGAUGACAGUAACUGAGACUGUCUGCAAAAGGUGAAGAUGAAGAGGAAUUCAUGCUAAGUCCUGGUUUAGGGAAGAGCAGUUUGACUGGGUCCUACAUUUUAGGAAGCUCUUAGGAGACCCUGAAAACGACAGAAUGGGAUUUGGGCAUGAUAGUCUGAAAUAGUAUUUUGGCAAGAUACAACCUCAAUGAACCACCCUGGAACCAAGAACUAGAAGAUUUGAUGCACUGAGAUGAAAGUAAACCCGUUGGUCCUCUUUCUGUCAUUCCCUAGAAGUCUUAGAUUUUUUUUUUCUUUCUUUUUUUUUUUUAGUCAAAGAAAAGAAAGAACAGCUGUCCAAAUAUUGAAGUUAGUCACAAUGGGAUUCUGUGAUUAAAAGAAAAAAAAAUUGUGUACACAAUGUCAAAGGAAAGCCACAUUUUAAUAGAAAAUUUUCCUCACUUUGGAAGCCUCGUGGAUUGAUUUCAACAAGCAAUUGUCCCUAAAAUCCUUAAGAAAAACAGAACAGCAAUUGGGAAAUUAACAAAGGCUACUAGUAGUGUGCAGAAGAUGGGCAAAUGAGCAUACUGAUUUCACUGUUAUUUAAAGAAAUAAACUAUCUUAAAGCAAUAA